rnacentral:rRNA from 1 species
GAUGAACGCUAGCGGCAGGCCUAAUACAUGCAAGUCGAGCGGCAAGUCGAGGAGUAAUCUAAGACCUAGAGCGGCGCACGGGUGCGUAACGCGUAUGCAACCUACCUUAUACUGGGGGAUAGCCCGGAGAAAUCUGGAUUAAUACCCCAUGGCACAUAUUGAUGGCAUCUGAGAUAUGUUAAAGAUUUAUUGGUAUAAGAUGGGCAUGCGUCUGAUUAGCUAGUUGGCGGUGUAACGGACCACCAAGGCGACGAUCAGUAGCUGGUCUGAGAGGACGAUCAGCCACACUGGGACUGAGACACGGCCCAGACUCCUACGGGAGCAGCAGUGGGGAAUUUUGGACAAUGGGGGAAACCCUGAUCCAGCCAUGCCGCGUGUGUGAAGAAGG